AAGGAGACAGAACUCUCUCUAGAAGAUGAGACUGCUGGGUCUCUUCCUGUGUCUGCUGAUAGCCCCCCAGGGUGCCCUGUCCCAGGGGCAGCUGCAGGAGUCGGGCCCAGGACAGGUGAAGCCCUCGCAGACCCUCUCCCUCACCUGCACUGUCUCUGGAUUCUCCAUCACAACCAGUGGUGACUGCUGGCACUGGAUCCGCCAGCCCCCAGGGAAGGGGCUGGAGUGGAUCGGGUGCAUAAAUUAUGGUGGAAGCACCUACUAUAGCCCGACUCUCAAGAGCCGCACCUCCAUCUCCAGAGACACGUCCAAAAACCAGUUCUCCCUGCAGCUGAGCUCCAUGAUGGCCGAGGACACAGCUGUGUAUUACUGUGCAAAAGACACAGUGAGGGGAAGUUAG